rnacentral:misc_RNA from 1 species
GAUGAAGAACGUAGCGAAAUGCUAUAAGUAAUGUGAAUUGCAGAAUUCAGUGAAUCAUCGAAUCUUUGAACGCACAUUGCGCCCGCCAGUAUUCUGGCGGGCAUGCCUGUCUGAGCGUCAUUUCAACCCUCAUGCCCCUAGGGCGUGGUGUUGGGGAUCGGCCAAAGCCCGCGAGGGACGGCCGGCCCCUAAAUCUAGUGGCGGACCCGUCGUGGCCUCCUCUGCGAAGUAGUGAUAUUCCGCAUCGGAGAGCGAUGAGCCCCUGCCGUUAAACCCCCAACUUUCCAAGGUUGACCUCAGAUCAGGUAGGAAUACCCGCUGAACUUAAGCAUAUCAAUAAGCGGAGGA